rnacentral:rRNA from 1 species
GUGAAACCGCAUGCAGGUAAGCGGGUGGCGUCAAGCUGCUAGCCCAGAGAAUUCAGCCGGCUAGGGUGUUUGUGUGCGCUCGGUGCACCUAUUGACCGGAGUAAGAUGUAGUAGUCCACUGGUAGACGGUGGUCCUUUUGGUUGCGUUCUCGUAGCGUGGCUAGGAGGGGAUGCGUGCCGGAUGGGUGCCGGAGCAUACUACUCGUCCGUAGGGUCGUCUAACCGGUGCAUUUUCUCUGUGGCGAACACCACGACCGAUGGGAUUGUUGGUCUGCUGCGGUCAAGUCGUAUCCAAUUGGUGUCACUUGGCAUCAAUAGGGUGCGGCCACAGUCGAGAUGUGUAGACGGCGUUGGGGUGUUUCGGCACUUUAGCGUGUUAUCGUCUGCAGCUCGAAAACGGGCCUGCCUAGUGAUUAUUGUGGCCUUGAUCACUUGGUGGUUCGGUGGGCCGUGGUGGUGUUGAUAACCAUACAAGGCAUCGGGGUCAGCGACCUCAUGUAAUAGCAUCAUGCAUCAGGGCGCAAGUCACGAGCGUCGUGUUUGCCGAAGGGUGCACUAUGGUAGUCUGCUUGCAGUCUGGUUCUGAUUGUCGUGUUGCCUGCGCAAAGUAGGUCCGGCAAUGGUCAGCUGUAAGGUGGGCUGCUAAUGCUGGUGUACUCCGUGAUGUGGUGCUGGGGGUCAUAAAGUCAGUGGUGCU